rnacentral:rRNA from 1 species
AUGCCUAAUACAUGCAAGUCGAGCGAAUGAUGAAGAAGCUUGCUCUUCUGAUUAGCGGCGGACGGGUGAGUAACACGUGGGCAACCUACCCUAUAGAUUGGGAUAACACAGGGAAACCUGUGCUAAUACCGAAUAAUACAUUCCUUUCAUGAGGGGAUGUUGAAAGAUGGUUUCGGCUAUCACUAUAGGAUGGGCCCGCGGCGCAUUAGCUAGUUGGUGAGGUAAUGGCUCACCAAGGCAACGAUGCGUAGCCGACCUGAGAGGGUGAUCGGCCACACUGGGACUGAGACACGGCCCAGACUCCUACGGGAGGCAGCAGUAGGGAAUCUUCCACAAUGGGCGAAAGCCUGAUGGAGCAAUGCCGCGUGAGUGAUGAAGGAUUUCGGUUCGUAAAACUCUGUUGUAAGGGAAGAACAAGUAGCGUAGUAACUGGCGUUACCUUGACGGUACCUUAUUAGAAAGCCACGGCUAACUACGUGCCAGCAGCUGC